CAUAUAACGUAUUUGCUAUAUAUAUAACUAUGUUGAUGUGCAUAUUUUACAUUUUUCUCUUAUCACAGAAAAUUGUGUCAUACAUUUGCUACAUUUAUAAAUAUGUACCUUUGGUUUUUCUUUGCAGGCAAUCAACUAAUUGUAAAAACUGUAUUUUGGAGUUUAAGGAAAAUAUACUACAUUUAAAAAAUAGAAGUGAAAAUAUUCAUCAACAGCUCAAGAAAGCCUUGAAUGAGAUGCAUCAUGAAAUUAUACAGAGAGAAAAUCUGUCAGGAACCUUAGCGAGGCCGUGGAAAUCAGGCGAGAGGCAUCACCGACGCACUGUUCUUAUUUCUACUUGGGCAGUGGUCUCCUGUCUAUGA
rnacentral:lncRNA from 1 species